GUUGAACGCUGGCGGCGUGCCUAAUACAUGCAAGUCGAGCGGACGGACGAGAAUUUUUCUUCUCUUAUGUUAGCGGCGGGCGGGUGAGGAACAGGUAUAUGACCGACCGAUAGGGCUGGGGUAACGUCAGGAAAGCUGAUCUAACAUCCGAUCAGAGGGUGAACCUCAUGGUUCUACAGUGAUAGACGGUCUUGCUGUCACUUAUACAUGGAACCGCGCUGCAUUAGCUAGUUGGUAAGGUAACGGCCUACCAAGGCAACGAUGCAUAGCCGACCUGAGAGGGUGAUCAGUCACACUGGAACUGAGACACGGUCCAGACUCCUACGGGAGGCAGCAGUGGGGAAUAUUCCACAAUGGGCGAAAGCCUGACGGAGCCACGCCGCGUGAGUGAUGAAGGUCUUCGGAUCGUAAAACUCUGUUAGUUGGGAAGAAGAUAAGUGUAAGAAUCUCUGCACAUCUUGACGGUACCUACACAGUAAGCCCCGGCUAACUUCGUG
rnacentral:rRNA from 1 species